CUCCCUUCCCUCUUCUGUUAAUCAGAUCAGAGUGAAAACGAAAUCUGAUAGACCUGUUCAACUCACCCAGUUUCUUCAGUCUUGGCUUGAUGGCUUGAGUACAUCAGGAAGCCAGUGUAACAAGGAAGAUUCAGACAAGAGCAAAAGUGGGAUUUUUAACAACAGAAGCAUUCAGUCACUGCAGCAAUAUAUCCAGGAACAUUUUAUAAUUCAACUUUUGGAUAAAGGUACCCAGCAGCUUGUGACCCAGAUGCAGCAUUGCAGACCCCUAAGAUAUACUUCAGAUAGAUUUCAUUAUUCCACUACAGAAGGAACCUAA
rnacentral:lncRNA from 1 species